rnacentral:pre_miRNA from 1 species
CACAUACUCCCUCCAUUCGGAAUUACUUGUCUCGGAAAUGGAUGUAUCUAGAAUUAAAAUACGUCUAGAUACAUCCAUUUCUGCGACAAGUAAUUCCGAACGGAGGGAGUAGGUG